rnacentral:piRNA from 1 species
UGGAGAGUAUCCAGGUCCUAGAGGAA